UGUACUAUUUUGGCAGCAAAAAGUGAUAUUAAUAUAGAUUAAGUUACACCACUUCUUAGUCUAUAUAAUAUAAUCAGCUUAUUCUUUCUACUUCACAAACAUAAUCAGAAUAACAACUUCGUAUUCUGAUUUUGUAUUUCAAGGGUGGUUGAUAAAUAAUCAAGAAAAAAUGGCUGAAACAAAGUUGAGCAGCGUGAAGGAUAUAAGAUGGUCCCUGGAAGGUAUGACUGCGUUAGUGACAGGAGGAACCAAAGGCAUUGCAAACAAUCUGAAGGAGAUGAAGCUAUAGCAGGUAUAGUGUCUCAAGCACCUAUGGGUCGUGUGGGAGAGACCAAAGAGAUAUCAUCAUUAGUUGCUUUUCUUUGUCUUCCAGCUGCAUCAUACAUUACUGGACAAUUUAUUAAUUUCUUUGCUUUUAGUUGUUGCAUUUGUACCAUUGCUAUGGAUUUUAAUUUUCCUUUCUAUUAGAUUGUCUAUUCUGGUUGUUUCCUUUCUAUUAAAUUUUCUUAUGAAAAACAUCUUGGAACAGAGAAUAGACUAAGUACUAGACGCGUUUCCAUUCAUAAAUUUUGUAUGAGAACUUUCUAUUUGUUGUA